UACGUAGGGUGCGAGCGUUAAUCGGAAUUACUGGGCGUAAAGCGUGCGCAGGCGGUGAUGUAAGACAGGUGUGAAAUCCCCGGGCUUAACCUGGGAACUGCAUCUGUGACUGCAUCGCUGGAGUGCGGCAGAGGGGGAUGGAAUUCCGCGUGUAGCAGUGAAAUGCGUAGAUAUGCGGAGGAACACCGAUGGCGAAGGCAAUCCCCUGGGCCUGCACUGACGCUCAUGCACGAAAGCGUGGGGAGCAAACAGG
rnacentral:rRNA from 1 species